GCCCUAAACUGCCUGUCCUAUCUCCCCUUCUCAUCAGAUAUUUCCAGGUCCCUCUCAAGAACCAGCCUGUGACGUCACUGAGGCUCCUUAGCAACCCUUUGAAGAGAAAGACUACAAAAUGAACAAAAAAUCAAGAUGAAGACAAUGGUUUCAGAAUCUCACAUGUGACUGCCGCAAAGCUCCCAAACCUGCAUUCGUACUCCCUGGGGGUCGCGCUUUCUUCUCAGACCUGUAGUCCUAAGUUUAUGUGAGUGAAAAAGCUGAAGCCCAGUACCGGAAACACUAAGUAAUGAGAGAGACCCAGACUAUCAGUGCAACCCAGCGGCUCCUGGAAAGCACAAACUACAAAACCUUAACCGGAGUUGAUGAGCGUCUAGGUGUGUAGAUGCACAGGUGUAAGUGUACUAGAAAGACAUUUUGGAUGUGAAGUGUCUCACACGCUCAUACGUUUGCACGCUAGCUUUCCAGCUUGUGGCACUGUUUAGGAAAGUUGUGUGGCUUCUGAGAAGGCGGCCUGGCUCCAGCAGAAAAGAUUCCUUUGAUGGGCCUGGCCUGGAAGUUGUUAUCCAAUGACUGAAAAGUUUGCUAAUCCACUCUGUUCCUGGUCCGAGCUCUCAGUCCACAUAGAGUAAGCGAUGAGGUAAGCUUCUGCCAUUGCAAUGGGCCACCAUGCCUUCUCCACCAGGAUGUGGGCCAAAAAUAAUAAAUGAAAUAAAAAUAAAAAAUAAAGAUAAAUCUAUUCUCUGUUAA